AGGUCAUUUCAAAGAGGGCUCAUAGGGCUGUGAAAUCAGGAGCUUUUAUUGUCAUCACCAAAGAUUGAAGUUCUACGCAGGAUGCCAUAGCACUCAGUAGGGCUGUUUUCCUAGGGUGCUAUAGGA
ensembl:snoRNA